rnacentral:rRNA from 2 species
GACAACUCUCAACAACGGAUAUCUUGGCUCCCGUAACGAUGAAGAACGCAGCGAAAUGCGAUACGUAGUGUGAAUUGCAGAAUUCCGUGAACCAUCGAAUCUUUGAACGCAAAUUGCGCUCGAGGCUUCGGCCAAGAGCAUGUCUGCCUCAGCGUCGGCU